AAGUAAUUUAUGCGCAACUCCGGGCAAUAAAACCCACGGGAAGCCCACAGCAUAUUGGCGCGUGAAAUUUUAGGAAGUCAUAACAAAAUGGCACAGCAACAGGAGAGCGAAUAAGACGGUUUGAAUAAUGAGAGAACGUGGGAAAAAAAUGCUGACUCAUGGUUGGUGUUAUGUAAAAUUUAGGGAAGGGGAGGGAGGAAGCCCUCAAUAAUGAAAGAGGCACACCUUAAGCAAACAAGCACGCUCAUGCAAAAGCACCAGCACAAACAGGAAGUGAUGUGACCUAACACAGUACAACUUCCUGUAUUUGUCCAUUCAUAAGGACUUUCUAUGCGAUCGCACACACAAAGGCUGGGUACAAAGUGUGUCGUGUUUGCUUUAUCUCCCUUUUCCUCCCUGUUGCGCGCAAGUCAUCAAAGUGCCUGCCGUGCAACGUUUUGAGAGCGUGUUUGAAUCCCGCCGGGUACAGAGAGCACAUUUUCCGCUCGAGGAACGUAAAACAAGCCCGGCCUUUGUCGGCGGGAGAGCCGAACGGAAAGCUGCCAAAAGAGACAUUUUGCCCAGGCAAUUGCAAACACCUUUGAUGGGGAACGAGUUGUGGAUCGUUGCUAUUUGCGACGGGGCCCGGUCCGUAUCCGUCGCACUUCGUGAAGGACAGACACUGGAUGGAAGCGUGCAAGGAAAAUAAGCUGCGCUCAUCAUUUAAAAUUUCCCUCCCGAGAGACAAAAACAGAAGACAAACUGUUCACCGGCCUGACCGAAGCCACAUUUUUCCGGCCUCGCUCUGCCUCCGCUCAUAAUGCGACUCAUUCAACAGCGUGCGUGGCCAGGUGUGUGUGAUGGGCAAACUGCGUAACCGGGGCAAUGCUCCCGAUCCCGUACCACCACUCAAGGAGUGGCCGCCAUGAGAGGAGCCCCCGGGUUGAAAGUGCACCAACGACAGAACACAACACCUCAUCAAUCUUCCCGUCUCCCACUAUUGAUCCAGAGGGUGCCCUCUGCACUGGGAACUGUGGAGGGCCUUGGCUGUAGCCCCCCCGUCACCAUGCAUGCAGGCUCUCACUGCCCUCCUACACCGCAGGCUCCAUUCUUGUGGCUCAUGGGCGCGGCCUACAUUCUGGUCCUGGCCCUGCUAUGUGUGUCCUCACCUGGAUUUUCUGUACUCAGCAUCGGGAUACUAGGUAGUGUAUUUUCCGGACUAUAAGGCGCACCGCAUUAUAAGCGCACCUCCAAUGAAUGGCAUACUGUAAAACCUUUUCCAUAUAUAAGGCGCACCUCCAAUAAAUGGCAUAUUUUAAAACCUUUUCCAUAUAUAAGGCGCACCGGAUUAUAAGGCGGACCGUCGGCUUUUGAUAAAAUUAAAGGCUUUUAGGUGCGCCUUAUAAUGUGGAAAAUACGGUACUCGGGGUACUAUUUUUAAACCUGUAUGUAAGUGUGUGUUUGUGUCCUGCGGACAAGUAGGGUUGAGUUUUUUUAACAUUUUUUGGGGGGUUAAUGUAGUGC